ACAAGCGGUGGAGUAUGUGGUUUAAUUCGAUGCAACGCGAAGAACCUUACCUGGUCUUGACAUCCCGGAGACCCUUAGGAAACUAGGGGUGCUUCCAUCUGGAAGAAUCUGGAGACAGGUGCUGCAUGGCUGUCGUCAGCUCGUGUCGUGAGAUGUUGGGUUAAGUCCCGCAACGAGCGCAACCCUUGCCUUUAGUUGCCAGCAGUUCGGCUGGGCACUCUAAAGGGACUGCCGGUGUUAAACCGGAGGAAGGUGGGGAUGACGUCAAGUCCUCAUGGCCUUUAUGACCAGGGCUACACACGUACUACAAUGGCCGAUACAAAGGGCAGCGACACUGCGAGGUGAAGCCAAUCCCGUAAAAUCGGUCUCAGUCCGGAUUGGAGUCUGCAACUCGACUCCAUGAAGUUGGAAUCGCUAGUAAUCGUGGAUCAGCGUGCCACGGUGAAUACGUUCCCGGGCCUU
rnacentral:rRNA from 1 species